AUCCUAAAUUGUUAGUAUACUAACAUUCGGUAGGUUUUUUUUUGUUUUUGAGAUAAAGAUAGCACAAUAUCCGCUUUAUUUAUUUUGCAUAUAAAUUUAGCUACGGGAGUUGAGGCAUCACGAACUCGAAAAAGAUAAAAAGCAACCGGCACAAAAAAGACAAAAUCCAACACAAAAACAAAAAAAAUAGAUAGAUUACAUCCUUCAAUCAAACCAAGUCAUUAAAGACUGCAAAACUCAGCGUAUUCCCAAUCCACAUCCUAAAUUCAUCUAACUGGCAAUAGGAGAUCAAAAGAUUGGUUUUUAAAAUUCUGUUAUUACUUUUCCGUCAGAUUAUCCACCAACUCACUGCAACUCUGGUCAUAUUUUUCGCUAUUGACCCUUGGGAGUGGUUCUCCAACACAAGCUCCCAGACACCCUUGACCUCCAUCACAGAUCCCGGAAUGUGUCUACCUUCUUCAAUGUUGAGCAAUAAAAAU
rnacentral:lncRNA from 1 species